GGCUGGUCCGAUGGCAGUGGGUUAUCAGAACUUAUUAACAUUAGUGUCACUAAAGUUGGUAUAACACCCCCCCCACUGCUAAAUUUGACUGGCUUUUA
rnacentral:Y_RNA from 1 species